rnacentral:lncRNA from 1 species
UGGGAUUACAGCAUUUUGAUACAUAUUCUCUGACAGUAAGUUAUUUACUGUAACAAACACGAACUGAUAGAAACUCACAGUAACUAAAAGUAUCUGAUAGUGUCCAUUUGUGUCUCUGUGUUUCAAUGAGUUUUUCCACUUCUUCUCAAGGCCAUCAGGCCUCAUAAAGGCACACUUUGCCUCUUUAAUAUAUUUAAUAUUAAUCGUUGACGUGACGCACAGCGUUAUGCACACUCUUAGAGAUCGCAGUGGAAAAGCAGUGAUUUAUGCUAAUCUGCAUGAAAACAAAAUGCUUGAAUGAUUUUUGUUUACUGUAAAUAAAUGUAACUUGACUGUCCGGCCUUAAUCAUUCCUAGACCCUGAAGGUUAUAUUUUGUGAAUGUUGGAGUGGCUCUGAACUGAACGUUCAUUUAAAUUGUUUUGUAAAGUAUCGAGCAGUAAAUCAGUCCGUUUUUACUGAUCUCAGAGCAGCUCUAAUGCUUUUUUUACACGAGCUCCUAGUAGCGUGCUGUGUUUAUCCCACCUUGGCUGCAGUGAAGGUGCAUGGUUAGGUAACGCACCACAUUGCCCUCGUGACCUUUUCUGGACCCGUGUUUUUCCAGAAAAACGUGAGAGGUGUUUGUGUCCUGUGGUGCUUUCACUGCUGCCAAAGCUGUCCAUCAACCUGUGACAUCUGGAUUACCUUCUUCGCUCUCAGUUGCUUAAGCACAUCCAUGCCCCUUGCCGAAGCGAACAAAGUGCAGGAGCUGCUUGAGCUCCAACACUGGAUUCAGGAGCUGGAGCCUCAGCUUCAGGGUUCUGAUGCCACUUUAUAUGCUCCUACCAACCAAGAUGUCACCGUAAGUAGUACCUGCGAAUGGUCAUGCAGCACGUUCCACACAGCGAUGUACGCGUGCGGCUUGUUUUCGCUGCGUCA